CGAUCACAGAGCACUUACUCUGGUGAGCUAAAGAUUUUGAGCUUUCAAAAUGUGGAAAAUGCAAGAUGAUGAAGCCCUGAGUUCAGCCCGGAAAGGGGGAGGGGCGAAACGCGUAAUGCUGUGAACAAGACACAGUGUGGAGGACGCCAGCAUGGUGGAUAUGCUGUGAAUCUGGCGAUAUCAAGUUUACACAACUAAGCAAGUGAAGAGCUGCAUAGGCGGAAUACAUCGCUGUAAGCCACACCACGGAUGAGAUCCUGUCAGGUAAUACCGUAGAGUGUGUGAAGAGAGCGGAGGUAAGCCAUGCAGUAAUAAGUCUUGCACUCUGAAAGUUUGAAGUUUGAUUUGUCAUUUGCACAUGGGAUUAAGUUUUCAACAGUACAAGUACCACUCUUGGACUCUCAUAUUAUAUUUUCUAAUCCGGUACCGGAUCAAAUAUACACAUAUGGGAUAUCAAGGACGGUGUUCUGUCUAAUCUACAACCGGAGCGUGUUCUUAACACUCAAGUGCCCGGUAUUAGGAAUGGACUUUCUCAUGAGUCGACAUUAACCUUGCAUAUGCUAGCUCACAGUUAUCAGUAGUGCACUACGCUUGUUAUUUGUUUGUGUGCUGUAUCCUUGUUCUUGCCAUCAUUCUCAGCAUGUACCUUUUUUGGCUAUGUUUUUAUUAAAAUGUAUAUGUUCAGCA